rnacentral:rRNA from 1 species
UACGUAGGGGGCAAGCGUUGUUCGGAAUUACUGGGCGUAAAGCGCGCGCAGGCGGCGGUGCUGGCCCGGCGUGAAAGCCCCCGGCUCAACCGGGGAGGGUCGUCGGGGACCGCACCGCUUGAGGGCGGUAGGGGCUGGUGGAAUGCCUGGUGUAGUGGUGAAAUGCGUAGAGAUCAGGCGGAACACCCGUGGCGAAGGCGGCCAGCUGGGCCGUCCCUGACGCUGAGGCGCGAAGGCGUGGGGAGCGAACGGG